CCCGACUGCUAUUUGGGUGAGAAUAAGCCAUGCAAGUCGAAUGGAAUACCAAAAUAUUCCAUGGCAAACUGCUCAAUAACACGUGAUCAACUUACCCUAUGGAAAACAAUAACCUCUGGAAACGGAGGAUAAUGGUUUAUAGUUGAAAAGGCUUGGAAAAGCUUUUCAAUAAAAGGGAAUAAUAAAAAUGGUUAUUAUUUUGCCAUGGGAUAGGAUUGCGGUCGAUUAUGGCUGUUGGUGAGGUAAUGGCUCACCAAACCAAUAAUCGAUAGGGGCCGUGAGAGCGGGAGCCCCGAGAUGGGUACUGAGACAACGACCCAGGCCUUACGAGGCGCAGCAGUCGCGAAAACUCCGCAAUACACGAAAGUGUGACGGGGCUAUCCCGAGUGCCAUCCGCUGAGGAUGGCUUUUCCCCAGUGUGUAAAGCUGGGGGAAUAAGGAGAGGGCAAGCCUGGUGUCAGCCGCCGCGGUAAUACCAGCUCUCCGAGUGGUAGGGACAAUUAUUGGGCUUAAAGCGUCCGUAGCCGGCUUGGCAAGUCUCCUGUUAAAUUCAGCGACUUAAUCGUUGAGCCGCGGGAGAUACUACUAGGCUAGGAGGCGGGAGAGGCCGACGGUAUUCCCGGGGUAGGGGUGAAAUCCUAUAAUCCCGGGAGGACCACCAGUGGCGAAGGCUGUCGGCUAGAACGCGCUCGACGGUGAGGGACGAAAGCUGGGGGAGCGAACCGGAUUAGAUACCCGGGUAGUCCCAGCCGUAAACGAUGCGGGCUAGGUGUUGAGGUGGCUACGAGCCACUUCAGUGCCGCAGGGAAGCCAUUAAGCCCGCCGCCUGGGGAGUACGGCCGCAAGGCUGAAACUUAAAGGAAUUGGCGGGGGAGCACCACAAGGCGUGAAGCUUGCGGUUC
rnacentral:rRNA from 1 species